rnacentral:rRNA from 1 species
GAUGAACGCUAGCGACAGGCUUAACACAUGCAAGUCGAGGGGCAGCGGGGUGUGGCAACACACUGCCGGCGACCGGCGCACGGGUGAGUAACGCGUAUGCAACUUGCCUAUCAGAGGGGGAUAACCCGGCGAAAGUCGGACUAAUACCGCAUAAACAAGGGGUUCCGCAUGGGGAUAUUUGUUAAAGAUUCAUCGCUGAUAGAUAGGCAUGCGUUCCAUUAGGCAGUUGGCGGGGUAACGGCCCACCAAACCGACGAUGGAUAGGGGUUCUGAGAGGAAGGUCCCCCACAUUGGUACUCAGACACGUACCAAACUCCGACGGGAGGCAGCAGUGAGGAAUAUUGGUCCAUUGCCGGGAGGCUGAACCAGCCAAGUCGCGUGAAGGAUGAAGGUUCUAUGGAUUGUAAACUUCUUUUGUGCGGGAAUAAAGUCGGGGAUGCGUCCCCGUUUGCAUGUACCGUACGAAUAAGCAUCGGCUAACUCCGUGCCAGCCGCCGCUGUAA